CCAUGACUGGUGCUGUAAUUAUUGUCUUAAACAAACAAGUUAGACCAGCGUAACACAGACAGUGACGCAGCUGUUGAUGCGAGUCUCUUGGUGUUUACAGGAGGACCUGUGGCAUGCCAAAGUGAGUGAUGUGCGAUCCCAGCUUCGCUUCCUGGAGGAAGUGGAGAGUUUGAAGAAGAAGAGGAUUGAUGAAGAGGAGAGAGAGAGACUGCUGCGUUUGGCCAGAAGUGAGGGUCCACAGCAUCAGCAGCUCAAGCAAAGAGCCAAAGAGCUCCAACAGAUGGAAGACGC